CAAGUCCCUGGUAGGUUCGUCCUUGCUCUGAGGGAAGAGUGUGGGCCACAGGCCAUGGGGACACUCUGAGGAUGUGGGUGCUGCCCAUCUUGAAGUUUCUCCCCACCCCUCUCCGGAGCUGCUACCAUUGUCCUUUGCCCUCGGAGUGCUCUCCUCCCACCCCCGCCGCCUCUUGUUCUCUUUCUCCCUUGAGCCGUUAGAAUGGCAGGGAGCCCAGCCAGGGCCUGGACGGCGGCCUCAGCUCCCUGUUCUCAAUAAUUGUGUGUGUGUGCAUGUGUGCAUGUGUACGUGUGAGUGCCUGUGUGUGUGCAUUGUGUGUAGGGGCUGGGGCUGGAGUCGACAACAGAUCAGAGCACAGGAGUAGAGCGCUUCUGGGAGGGUGGGGCCACCCGUGAGUCACGUCCUGCACCCUGGAGCCCAGAGGACCCUUCGCUCAAACCCACCACCAGCUGGCAACACCGGACCAGACCAGCCGGAGCCGCUUUCUUCGCUGCGCAGAGGAGCCUGGGAGAAGCCAGAGGUGUAAGUCAAGCUGUGGAGGGACUGGGUGUGGCUGAGCCCCGUGACAAGUGGGAGGAGCCAGGGAUGCUUGGGAGGGGAGGCACUGUGCGCGAGAGAGGAGGGAAAGGGGAAGCGUUCGUGCCUCUCUGCCCCCUGUCCCCCUCUUGCUGCAUAGUAGCCACAUCCAUGUCUCUUGUACCCUGCAAUCUGGAGGCCACUGCCAGAAGCUGGAAAUCUCAAGUAGAGCAGCAAAAGGCAUCUUCCUGGAGACAGGAAGGUAGGCACUGUGGAAUCAGCGGUGCGUAGAACAGUGAGGAUUUGGGGCUGAACCCAGCCCAGGUGGGCCAAGCCGUGGCACCAGCCGGACUGCAGUCUGAUGGAACUUCCCCUUCCUGCCCAGCAGAUGGCGAGCGUGUGCUGCUGGUGCCUCUUUCCAAAGGACGUUGAAUUGCUUGACAGCCCUGCCCAGCAUCUAGAAGACCACCUGAAGCUUUCACACUUUGAGACCUUAGAUCCUGCGAGGGUUUGAAUUUCAAAAGCUUCAAUUAAAGCACACAGUGUUCUUUACUUUAUGAAUGAAGCCAGAGCAGCCCACCUUCCUGCAUCUCUACCACCAUGGCACCAUGCCCUGUGAUGGGUGGGCUGGAGUCAAAUAUGUAGCAGGCAGCCAGGGUCAGUUUGUGGCCACUGCUGCCCCCUCUUCCUACAGUCUCCUCACUGAGUGCCCCUUCCCUGUUGGGUUCAACACAUCUGUGCUCCUGUAAGCCCUCAGCCUCCUCGUUCUCUUCCUCAACUUCUACCACCAGACACAUCUGAGAAGCAAGCAAGAGAGGCUGAACUAGGAGCAGGACCCAGGGACUGAAACCAGCACAGCAUCCCCACAGAGAAUUGGGUGGAAGGCAGCAUGGCUUCCAGCUUACUGGUGCUGAGCAGAUUGCUCUGGGUCUCCAUUGUAUCCUCUGAAGGAAGGAGGAGGAUUGCCUUCUGUCCAGAUCUCAGGAUCAAACAAAUAGGUCCAAUUUCCUGUGCUCACUUCAGUUAGAGCACUUCUCAUGUGACUUUGUAGCUUUGUGUGCAUCUCCUUCCUCUACUAGACCUAAGCCCCUCACGGGAGGGACUCUCUUAUUCUUGAUGUUCCCCACACCUGGAAUUUCAAUAAACAUCUCAAUAAACGUGUGUGUUUGGAUCCUUGGAUCCCAUGACUGCCGUCAUAACCUUGGUGAAGAAGAGGGCUGGGAGUAGGAAAGAGGUCAAGGUUCGCUUGAUCUCUAACCCUAUAGUGGGAAAUUGUGACGGAGAAUAUUCAAGAGUGGGUGUGGGUCUGUUUGAUUUCAGGUGUAGCUGUGUAAAUAGUUAGCCCUGCAUAUAUUUUUGUCUACUCACAACUGCCUGCAUGUGUAUUCAUAGAGUUGUGUGAUUCUGUGUAUGUGCCUGGGGAGUGGGAGAGGGCCAUGUGCACAUGUCUGAAUACUUGUUUUCAAAUAUACAUGCAUGUUUCCAUUUGGGUUUCUCUCCAUUUGUGUUGUUUGCCUGCCUCUUCUGUAAGUCUCUGAAAGUGCCACAUUGGCAAAUAAAAGCCACUGGGAUCAAUAAUUCUCCUGUUCUGAUGGGAGACAUGGAAGCCCACUGAGAAAUCUCCGAAUACAUGUUCCACUAAGAGCUUCCAAAAAUAAAUGGGAAAAAAGGAGAAAUGGGGCACACCCAUCUUCUUCACAGAGAGGGAAACUGAGGACCAGCAAAGGGGAAUAUAUGACUGAGAUACUAUGGCAGAAGCAAAUAUUGGCUGAGCUGUUCAAACCCAGAAUAGGAUGGGUUUCUUGAAAGCAGUUUGCCUGGGAGCUGUCUCUAUGUCUCCAGUAUGAUGACUUUUCUCCUUUAUAAUUGCCCUUCGGCUGUUUUUCAUCUCUAGGUAAGUUCUUAUUUUGCCAUGCCUCAAUAGUCAAGAAAAUUAAAGAAUUGCUGAAGGUUAUGCAGUGCUAUUUGGGGACUGUGUCUCCAUCUGGCCUUUUAGUUAAUCAACCCAAGGCCAGGCAAGGCUACAUCCUGUGGACAGAAUACUCAGAGAAAAUUCC
rnacentral:lncRNA from 1 species